rnacentral:ncRNA from 1 species
UCUUAUCGAGAGAGGCGGAGGGACUGGCCCUGUGAUGCCCGGCAACCGAUUGUAAUUUGUACAGUAAAUGGUGCCAAUUCCAGCAGGUAAAACCUGAAAGAUGAGA